rnacentral:rRNA from 1 species
GUGGGUAGUUUGACUGGGGCGGUCUCCUCCCAAAGAGUAACGGAGGAGCACGAAGGUUGGCUAAUCCUGGUCGGACAUCAGGAGGUUAGUGCAAUGGCAUAAGCCAGCUUGACUGCGAGCGUGACGGCGCGAGCAGGUGCGAAAGCAGGUCAUAGUGAUCCGGUGGUUCUGAAUGGAAGGGCCAUCGCUCAACGGAUAAAAGGUACUCCGGGGAUAACAGGCUGAUACCGCCCAAGAGUUCAUAUCGACGGCGGUGUUUGGCACCUCGAUGUCGGCUCAUCACAUCCUGGGGCUGAAGUAGGUCCCAAGGGUAUGGCUGUUCGCCAUUUAAAGUGGUACGCGAGCUGGGUUUAGAACGUCGUGAGACAGUUCGGUCCCUAUCUGCCGUGGGCGCUGGAGAAUUGAGGGGGGCUGCUCCUAGUACGAGAGGACCGGAGUGGACGCAUCACUGGUGUUCGGGUUGUCAUGCCAAUGGCACUGCCCGGUAGCUAAAUGCGGAAGAGAUAAGUGCUGAAAGCAUCUAAGCACGAAACUUGCCCCGAGAUGAGUUCUCCCUGAGACUUUAAGUCUCCUGAAGGAACGUUGAAGACGACGACGUUGAUAGGUCGGGUGUGUAAGCGCAGCGAUGCGUUGAGCUAACCGAUACUAAUGAACCGUGAGGCUUAACCUUACAACGCCGAAGGUGUUU